GAUGAACGCUAGCGGCAGGCCUAAUACAUGCAAGUCGAACGGUGUAGCAAUACACAGUGGCGCACGGGUGCGUAACACGUAUGCAACCUACCUUACAUUGGGGGAUAGCCUUUCGAAAGGGAGAUUAAUACCGCAUAAGACAGUAACUAGGCAUCUAGUAGCUGUUAAAGAUUUAUCGAUGUAAGCUGGGCAUGCGUCCAAUUAGUUAGUUGGCGAGGUAAUGGCUCACCAAGACGAUGAUUGGUAGGGGAACUGAGAGGUCAAUCCCCCACACUGACACUGAGAUACGGGCCAGACUCCUACGGGAGGCAGCAGUAGGGAAUAUUGGGCAAUGGGCGCAAGCCUGACCCAGCCAUGCCGCGUGCAGGAAGAAGGCGUUAUGCGUUGUAAACUGCUUUUAUACAGGAAGAAACGACCCUUGCGAGGGGCAUUGACGGUACUGUAUGAAUAAGCACCGGCUAACUCCGUGCCAGCCGCCGCCGUAAUAC
rnacentral:rRNA from 1 species